GGUAUGUAUGUGUGUGUGGUAUGUGUGUAUGUGUGUGUGUGUAUUGUGGUGUGUGUGGUAUGUGUGUAUGUGUGUGUGUAUUGUGGUGUGUGUGUGUGUAUUGUGGUGUGUGUGUGUGUGUGUGUGUGUGUGUGUGUGUGUGUGUGGUGUAUGAACAUGUGUGUGGGUGUGAGAAGCAUCAAAAGGAUCAUCAGCAGACCAGAGCACAGGAUCAGAGUUUCUGGGCAGGGUGGGUAGGGCAAGGUCCUGCCUGUGUCAGCCCAGAGGAUGCUCCAUCAGACUCCUGUCAGCCUGCAUAGCUGGAGCAGCAAUCCUGGUUGCACUCACCGAGGAGGAGCCAAGAGCAGCCCCAAGACAGAGUGCUCCCUUAGAAUGCCGUGGAAAGUGUGGAGCACACAGGCCCAGGACUCGGACAACAGAGCUUUUCCUUCAGUAAAACAAGUAAAUUGCCUUGCCCUUUCCAAGGGGGUAUGUGAAGUUCCAGGAGACAAGCUUAGAGAAAGAAGGCCCCUAGAAUGGACGCCCUCACUCAUCUCUCUCCAGGUCUUCCUUCUGUAAGAACUGACAGCAGCUCCAUUUCCGGUGUGUCUACAGCCACACCAUCACGCUCUUCAAUUGGUGGGCUGGUGUCCAGCAUGUUCUGGCCUGGAAGG
ensembl:lncRNA